UGGGGAAUAUUGGACAAUGGGCGCAAGCCUGAUCCAGCCAUGCCGCGUGAGUGAUGAAGGCCUUAGGGUUGUAAAGCUCUUUCGCCGGUGAAGAUAAUGACGGUAACCGGAGAAGAAGCCCCGGCUAACUUCGUGCCAGCAGCCGCGGUAAUACGAAGGGGGCUAGCGUUGCUCGGAAUCACUGGGCGUAAAGCGCACGUAGGCGGAUCGUUAAGUCAGGGGUGAAAUCCUGGAGCUCAACUCCAGAACUGCCCUUGAUACUGGCGAUCUCGAGUUCGAGAGAGGUUGGUGGAACUCCGAGUGUAGAGGUGAAAUUCGCAGAUAUUCGGAAGAACACCAGUGGCGAAGGCGGCCAACUGGCUCGAUACUGACGCUGAGGUGCGAAAGCGUGGGGAGCAAAACAGGAUUAGAUACCCUGAUAGUCCACGCCGUAAACGAUGGAUGCUAGCCGUUGGGGGGUUUACCUCUCAGUGGCGCAGCUAACGCCUUAAGCAUCCCGCCUGGGGAGUACGGUCGCAAGAUUAAAACUCAAAUGAAUUGACGGGGUCAUAGCUGUUUCCU
rnacentral:rRNA from 1 species